rnacentral:SRP_RNA from 1 species
GCCGGGCAUGGUGGCGCAUGCCUGUAAUCCCAGCUACUUGGGAGGCUGAGGCAGGAGAAUCGCUUGAACCCGGGAGGCAGAGGUUGCAGUGAGCCGAGAUCGCGCCAUUGCACUCCAGCCUGGGCAACAAGAGCGAAACUCUGUCUCCA